UACUGGUGAUCGAGUAUGUUGGU
rnacentral:siRNA from 1 species